rnacentral:lncRNA from 1 species
CAACAAGAAGAUCAAGGAAUUAGAGCGCCGCUAAGUUAUCUAGAUUAGACCUUGAGGCAAUGCAUCUUAGUCAUCUAUCUUUAAAUUCGGUUUAGGUUUAUUAUUAUCAUCAGUUUGUUACUUCUAUCAUCAGUUUGCUACUAGUCUUUUGUAAUAAAUGCCUCAAGAUUAAUAAAGAGUAUUAUUAUUAUUAUUAUGUCUUGUGGGUCUCUACUUUAUUUUUGUAAGAAAGCAGAAAACAAGUAUGGGGGAGAUACCUCGACAUGCCAAACACACUUUGACUACACCACUCCAUGAUUCAGGUACACACUCUGCACACUUUACUUUACACAUACACAUAUCUUGAUUAUGCAGAAUAUUGUUUCCGACAUGAUAAAUUAAAAAUAUUAAAAUAUUUCUAAUCAUGAUUAAUCUCAAUCUGUGAUAUUUCCUGAAAACUUGCAACUAUUAUAAAAUCAUUUUAAAAAAACCCUAUGUUACUUAAGUCAAUAUGGAAUAUGUGAUGGUAGAGUAUGAGUUUCUAUUCUUGAUAUCAUUGCUACUUGGAGAAUUUAUUUCAAAAUAUUCAAAAUUCUAGCUACCAUCCUCAGUGUCUUAUAUGCCUGAUAAAAUUGAAAAUAUUAAUGAUUAUAAAAGCUAUCUACUCUGUAUUGAGUUUGUUCAAAAUGAGUUAGACCCUUGUUGAGAGAUUUAUCAUGCUCCUAAGAUCAAGACAUUUAUUCAAAAGAUUCACUCUUCCGAAGUAUUAUUGCAUUAGAGGCAUGGGCUAUGCAAAAAUAGAGAUAUUUCGAGGAAAUAAAAAGGAGCAAGUGCUCGACAACCUCGCAGAAAAAAUGGACAAGUGUCCGGCAGUAGAAUUAGGGAUACCUCGGUAUCCACUUAAAAAAAAAUAAAAGAGAGAGAAAAGAAGAAAAUGAUAGCCCAUGGUCCCUCUAAUAAGCAAUAUGCCAGCAAGAGUUGACAAAGAUUUUAAUUUCCAAAGUCUUUGAUCUAAGAGUAUGACAUUCCCCUCCUCGGAUCCCGUUUUGAUCAGGCAAUAAAUGCAAAGUAAGUAUGCUUGAGAAUUUUUGCAAAAUAAAUAACCUAUGAGGAUAAAAAGGUAUGCUAACUUUCUUUAAAAAAUAUACAAAAACUCCAAGUGACAAGAUUGAGAAGAAAGGAUCUUUACCAUAUACCGUGCAGUUAUAAAGUGUGAAUGUUUUAAAUGUUUACCCCAGAUAUUUUUCUUAACCAUCCUUUUCUCGAGGACGAGUAAAAGCCUAAGUAUGGGGGUAUUUGUUGACGGUUCUUCAGUAUCAAUUUUAAUUAUCAAAUAAACAAGGGAAAUGACCAAUAUGCAACCAACACCUAGAAUUAGGGUUUGAUGUGACAGAAUUCCACGACUUUUGUUGUUUAUCUGUUUCUGCAGGGGGUUAUCAGGAAAUAAGGAAGAAAGGCCCACAUGUCGGGAUUACAUAGAGAUAUCAAUGCACCGCGCGAUUUUCUACCAUCUAGAAGACUCCAGAAGCCACGGGAAGAAGGCAGAGGCCGAAAGGGGCCAGGCCCAGGGCGCCCGCCCUGGUGACCUUGGCGCCCGCCCCUUGCUAGAAGACAUUCAUGACUCUCUUCGCACACGAUGUUCCACCGACCUAAUGGAUCCAAGAUAACGUAGUACCACCUCGCCUACCGACCCAAAAAUGCAUAGAGGAGGAUGACUAUAUAAGGAGACCCCCCUGGCCUCUGGAGAAGACAAGAAAUUAUCAUAGAGAUUGAGGGGUGCCCUCGAAGGAAAACCUCUUCUCUAAUUAAUAUUUCUUUUUAGGCUUAGCAACCAAUGUAACUUAGAAAUAGAUCUUCUAGUUUCUACU